rnacentral:rRNA from 1 species
GACGAACGCUGGCGGCGUGCUUAACACAUGCAAGUCGAACGGUGAAGCUCCAGCUUGCUGGAGUGGAUCAGUGGCGAACGGGUGAGUAACACGUGAGCAACCUGCCCCUGACUCUGGAAUAAGCGCUGGAAACGGCGUCUAAUACUGGAUACGAGAAGGGUCCGCAUGGGCACUUUCUGGAAAGUUUUUCGGUUGGGGAUGGGCUCGCGGCCUAUCAGCUUGUUGGUGAGGUAAUGGCUCACCAAGGCGACGACGGGUAGCCGGCCUGAGAGGGCGACCGGCCACACUGGGACUGAGACACGGCCCAGACUCCUACGGGAGGCAGCAGUGGGGAAUAUUGCACAAUGGGCGAAAGCCUGAUGCAGCGACGCCGCGCGAGGGAUGACGGCCUUCGGGUUGUAAACCUCUUUCAGCAGGGAAGAAGCGAAAGUGACGGUACCUGCAGAAGAAGCACCGGCUAACUACGUG